UGUUUGGUUCUUUUCAUUGAAUGCUUUGGAAAGCAUGGCUUCCUUAUUAUUAACAGCGCAGGACUUUUGUUUUCUGAAUUUUCUCUGAUUCUCUCAGGUUAUUGCUGUUGCUAAAUCUUCAGACAUAGUACUGAUGGUUCUUGAUGCUUCCAAAUUGCAGGUGAAAACAAGAAGAAAAGAGUGCAUGGCAUGGGACAUAACUUGGAUCUUGGAACUAGUAGCUCUACCCAAGGUUCAUCUCCAGAGGUUGCAGGUUCCUCUACAAACCUUACGCCUAUGACAGAAGAACGGGUCACUACAGUUAUAAAUAAUGCAUUGACCUCUUUUUUGCAAACACAAUUACCA